rnacentral:rRNA from 1 species
GUGACAGCAGCCGCGGUAAUACGGGGGGGGCAAGCGUUGUCCGGAUUUACUGGGCGUAAAGAGAGUGUAGGCGGCCACGCAGGUCCGUUGUGAAAACUGGAGGCUCAACCUCCAGACGUCGACGGAAACCGUGUGGCUAGAGUCCGGAAGAGGAGAGUGGAAUUCCUGGUGUAGCGGUGAAAUGCGCAGAUAUCAGGAAGAACACCAAUGGCGAAGGCAGCUCUCUGGGACGGUACUGACGCUGAGACGCGAAAGCGUGGGGAGCGAACAGGAUUAGAUACCCUAGUAGUCC